rnacentral:rRNA from 1 species
UACGGAGGGUGCGAGCGUUGUCCGGAAUCACUGGGCGUAAAGGGCGCGUAGGCGGCCUGAUAAGUAGGGGGUGAAAUCCUGCGGCUUAACCGCAGGGCUGCCUUCUGAACUGUCAGGCUAGAGCACAGUAGAGGCAGGUGGAAUUCCCGGUGUAGCGGUGGAAUGCGUAGAGAUCCGGAGGAAGACCGGUGGCGAAGGCGGCCUGCUGGGCAGUUACUGACACUGAUGCGCGACAGCGUGGGGAGCAAACAGG